GAAGAGAGAGUUAAAGAGCACGUGAAAUCGGUAAGGUGGAAACGGAUAGAGUUGACGUAUAUGGCUUGUAUUCAACCGUUGGAUUAUGCGUAACAAUGGGUGGUUUUUGUGGUGACCGGUUUAAUAUACGCCAUUUUCGGAUGGUGUUUAUGGUGGGCUGGUUUGGCGCGCAGUCCAUUGGUGUUUAAGUUUUUUAGCGGUGCAUGUACGAGUCAAUGUGCGCUGGAACAUGCGCGCUACGGUCGUCAAAGGAGUUUGGUGCAAGAGGUUACUUUUUUAGUAUUUUAAAUUUUAUUUAAAAUACAAAAGUCAAACCGUGCCCCUUUUCAGGAGGCGAUUCGUCGUGCAUGCUUUACUAUGUUUUUAGUUUUUUAAAGGAUGGCAUUUUAAAUAAAUGGCGAAUGUUUAAAUUUAAUUGUAUUUGUUGGUUAAGCGAGUCGCAUGCGAAGCGUUAUAAUUGAUUUAACAAUAAAUACGAUUAUUUAAACAUUUCCAUCUUUCCUUUAUCCCGGUGUAAAAGUCGAUCAUCUAUCCGACCCGUCUUGAAACACGGACCAAGGAGUUUAACGUAUACGGGAGUCAUUGGGUGUUUUAAACCUAAAGGCGUAAUGAAAGUGAAUGUAUUCUUUGAAAUACAAAUAUGCGAUCCCAUAAAUUUCGAUUUAAGGGCGCAGCAUAGCCCCGUUUUUGUCGCAUGUGAUGGAGCGGAGGAAGAGCGUAUGCGUUGAGACCCGAAAGAUGGUGAACUAUGCCUGAGCAGGACGAAGCCAGAGGAAACUCUGGUGGAAGUCCGAAUCGGUUCUGACGUGCAAAUCGAUCGUCUGACUUGGGUAUAGGGGCGAAAGACUAAUCGAACUAUC
rnacentral:rRNA from 1 species